AGAUAGAGGUGAGCAUAUGGACUCUUGGUUAAUCUUGAAGAUGACAGCUAAAUGAAAUAAUUUGAAUGAGUGGUUGUUGAAAAUAUGGAUGCAAUCAUUAAACUAAUCAAAAACUAAUGUUCAUACUGACAAGGCAUACCGGACAUGCAUAUCAUGAGGUUGAUUGUAAUAUUUUAGUGGUAGGAUUUAAGUGUGCCACUGAUAUUAGGUUUUGUUACUUAUUUUUCAUUUGUGGUAUUCUUUUUCUCGGUUUGAAGUAGUAAAGUUCCUCUGUUCUUGAAAACCGAAGAAAAUAGUAGCAGAAGUUGUGGAUAGCAUUUGAACUUUAGUGAUGGUAAGUUUAAAAAAACUUUUAUCAAUUUUUGUUUUGUUAUAUCCCGUUUGCUCAUUGCUCAAAGAUUGGGGAGGCUGCGUGCAGGAAAAAGGAUGGAAACCUCGACGCACAAUUAUCUUAUCCAGUUGGGACGCUGAAGAAUACAGCCUGGUCUCCCUCUCUCCCUCAAUGUACAAUGCUAACAAGAUGUACUUUAUUCUUCAGGGGAAAUGAAAACCAGCUUAAGACUUAUCUUCUAAUGCAAUGACUUUAAUCCAACAAAAAUCCCAUGUUGUUAAGUAAUUCAUUGUGAAAGCUGAGUAAAAGGUUUCUUUGAUUGGUUUAAAGGUGUCAUGGAUGAUAUUGCAGUGUCACCACCAUCAAGUAAUAGAAAUGCCCACCUACAUGAUAACCGCCUACAAAGAAGGAGAUGCAGGAUCUACACUUAAUGCCAUGUUACAGAAACUGCAACAUGCUACGAAUUGGGUCGAUGUUGUCUUAGAAAGUCAUAUAAGGACACAUAAUUGCUUUUGGACUUGGCUGCAGCACAUGAAUCAUCUUGAACAGCUGCCUCUGCGUUCAAAUAUGACAAUAGCUGGUGCAAAUGCCCGUUUCUGUUGCUGGUAGUCACUAUUAAAAGGGUAUCGCUAGGGGUGAAUUACACUUUGUAAGAGAUAAAGCCUGUUGCCUCCAACGUAAAAGAUUCUGAAGUUAAAACAAUUUAUUUAGAAUGGUAUGGUCCUAACACCCCAAAGAUUGUCAGGAGAAGAGCUUCUGUACACUCACAACUGAUUUUGAAGAAAUUUUAUAAGCAGUGUGAUCCUGGUCAGUGCUCACUGUUUCAGUCUCCUUUUCUAAAUUUUAUUCCCUGCUGAAUUACUAUUUGUGUUGCACAACUCAGCAAGCAGAAAAACGACUGAAGCAACAUGUCAUUGCAACUCUUGCACCACUUUUUGUAUAGAUAGAACUGCAGCAAGCAAUGUUUUUGGAGAGACUUGAACAACUAGAACGACUAUUUUUUGGAAAAUGUUCGAGCAGCAAUUGUAACCAAGUUGACCUUAAACUAAGAUAGCCUAUUUUUUGAAAAUUACUAUAAUGGAAAAUGUUGCCAGUAGAAGCUUUGAUAAGAUCUCAAAGCUAGGGCAUGAUCCAAUUCAUCUUUUGUUUUAGAUCAUCUGCAGUGAUGAUAU